ACCAAGGUGAACAAGUGAGUCUUAAGCAGUGAUUUAAAAGUGGAGAGGCUAUUCGCCGUCCGCACAGUGGAUGGUAAUGCAUUCCACAGAGUGGGAGCCGCGACUGCAAAAGCUCGAUCCCCUCUAGUUUUUAAGAGUGAUCGAGAAACAUCCAAGACCAUCUGAUUCGCUGAUCUGAGGGCUCUGGAGGGCUGAUGCAACUUAAUAAGGUCAGAUAGGUAUUCCGGAGCCAGCCCAUUCAGAGACUUAAAAACAAAUAAAAGAAUCUUAAAAUCAAUCCUGUACCUAACCGGAAGCCAGUGAAGUGAAGAGAGCACUGGAGUUACAUGCUCGUGUUUCUUUGUCCCAGUUAGGAGACGAGCUGCUGCAUUUUGAACAAGCUGCAGGCAGUUAAGCUCUGACUGCUCAAUGCCGACAUACAGGGUGUUGCAAUAAUCUAACCGAGAGGUAAUAAAAGCAUGGAUAACUUUUUCAAGGUCUUUCUGGCUUAGAUAGGGUUUAACUUUGGCUAGAAGCCUCUGCUGAAAAAAGCUAGACUUGACCACUGAGCUGACCUGUUUGUCUAGCUUAAAAGCACCAUCAAUAAUCACACCAAGAUUCCUAGUGUGGGAUCCCAUGUAAGGUGCUAGUGGGCCCAUGGAGCUGGCAAGGACCUGAACCAGAUCAGGGCGACCAAACAGGACAACCUCUGUCUUGUUUUCAUUCAGUUUUAAGAAGUUUAAGUCCAUCCAUGUUUUAAUGUCACUUACGCAGUUUAGCACGGCCUGAAGGGAAUCUUUGGAAGGAAUCUUUAACGGCAAAUACACUGUUUUAAAUAGUAUGAUUUAAACCAACUUAAAACAGUGCCUUUUAUACCUACACAAUGCUCUAGGCGUGACAGGAGAAUUGUGUAUAUAUAUUUGGUCCGGGCGGGGGCUUGAACCGGCACCCCUCCGGUUCCCAAGCCAAGUCCCUAUGGACUGAGCUUCUGCUGCCCCAUCCCUACAAGGACCAUCACUGAGACCAACAAGCUGAUUCACAGUACAGCAACAGUAAUCAUGGAGAUGCUUGGAUACAAGACGGACAUGGUACAUAAGAACCAGUACCCUCCAUGGAAGAGACGGUUGGAGGCCAAGAUAAAGGCAACACAGAGAGAAGUUAGCCAACUAGCAGAGCUACACAGAGGUAACAUGGUGAAUAAAGGGGCAUCAAGGAAAUACAACAAGCUCUCCAUUCCUGAGGCACUCAAAACUGCCAAACAAAGACUAAAAAUCUGGCCACCCAGCUGAAGAGAUACACCAAAGAAGUAGAAGCCAGGAACAGGAUGUUCUCCACUGAACCAGCCAAGGUGUUCUCUCAGUGGCAGGGAAAUAACAGCAGGUCAGACCCAAAAAGAGAUGCAAACAUACUGGAAGGGCAUAUGGGAAAGAGAGGCAUCACACAAAACUGAUGCCAAUGGCUCGUGGACCUAAGAACUGGCCACAGCAACCUCCCUGAACAGGAACCAGUAACCAUCUCAAUGGCAGACAUCCAGGAAAGAGUGUCAAAGAUGAAGAGCUGGACAGCACCGGACCCUGAUAUGAUCCAUACUGGCUGAAGAAGCUAACUGCACUCCACGAACACCUAGCAACACAGCUGCUAAGGGAUGGGACCCACCCAGAAUGAUUGACACUGGGCAGGACAGUCCUGAUUAUGAAAGACCCCCAGAAGGGAACCAUCUCAUCCAACUACAGACCAAUAACCUGUCUCUAUACAACAUGGAAGCUCCUGUCAGGCAUCAUAGCAGCUAAGAUAACUAGGCAUAUGGUCCAAUACAUGAGCAAGGCACAGAAAGGAAUUGGCAGUAACACCAGAGGAGCCAGGCACCAGCUACUGGUCGACAGAGCAAUCGCCCAAGACCGCAAGAGCGGGAAGACCAACCUGUGCAUUGCCUGGAUUGACUACAAGAAAGCCUACGACUCAAUGCCACACACAUGGAUACUGGAAUGUCUGGAACUAUACAAGAUCAACAGAUCACUAACUGCCUUCAUAAAGAACUCCAUGGGAAUGUGGAAGAUGACCAUAGAGGCCAAUUCAAAGCCGUUUGCCCAAGUCAACAUCAAAUGCGGCAUAUACCAAGGGGAUGCACUGUCACAACUGCUGUUCUGCAUAGGCCUGAAUCCCCUCAGUCGGAUCAACAAGAGUGGCUAUGUGUGAGGGCUGACAUGUAGGGUGAGAGCACUGCCCUCUGUAGGUAGGGUCAGAGAGAGUUUCCUGCCUUUAUAAGGACAGGUGUGGGCAAUUAGUACCUCUUUGUCUGAAUCUAGUAGAUGUGUGGUAGGAUUGCCUGGUUUGGGCAGGUAAGGGAGAUCCUGGGAGAAACAUUGUUUGUAUUGUUUGAGUUGAAAUCUAAUGAGGUUUCUCAUAUUUAGGUGUAGUAGAGCUGUGUCCUGACUGAUCUUGGCUGAUGUAUGCUCUGUAACUCCAUGUUGAAGAGGUGACCAUAGAUAACUGCAAUUGUUUGGUUGUCUGUAGGCCUAUCAUUAAUAAUAUAAUAAUUUAAUCCUUUAGGGAAUUCAGCCCUUGUCUCCUCCUUGUAGGAGCCAGAGUAGUCAGCCUGCUGAUGUUCCCAGUGUCUCUUUUAAUCAGGGCCUCAGAGUGAGCAAGGUAACCUAAACUGGUGGGGUAAUGUAGGAGGGUCAGUCCCUCCAAAUUAUUUUUGCCAGUUGAAACGAUUUAGACCAUGUCUCCCUUAUUGCAGACUAAGUGCCAGACUGCUGCUUUGCCUGAACCAGUCCAUCUACAUUGUCUAGCCUAACUCGGCUACCAUAUUGAAUUGGAUUCAACCUUAGCUUUACUGUGAACUGUCCAGGAUUUGUACAGGCAGAAUCUCCCCGUGGUCUCCAGCAAUAAAAAUCUUAUUAUUAAAUAAAUAUUUUAAUGGUGAACUGAAUGCACAUGUCCUGCUCUCCUUGAACCUAUAAAGUUGUAUUGUGUCAACACGUAUGAAGUUGGGGCCUAUAAUGACCCUUAGGUUUAUAUAGACAUUGCAUUGGUUUUAAAUACUGUGUCUGACCACAUAUGGAUACCAAUUCCGAAGUGGAGUAACAAUCAGCCACCUGCUCUACAUGGAUGACAUCAAGCUGUACCCCAAGAAUGAAUGAGAAAUCAACUCACUGAUCCACACCACCAGGAUCUACAGCAAGGACAUAGGGAUGUCACAAGUGUGGCCGGAUGGUAUCAAAGAGAAGUAAGAUGAUCAGAACUGAGGGAGUUGACCUACCAGAGGGCAACAUAGGAGAUAUCCAGAACAGCUACAAGUACCUUGGGAUCCCACAGGCUAAUGGAAAUCAUGAGGAGGCUGCAAGGAAGUCGACCACAACCAAGUACCUCCAGAGAGUAAGGCAAGUCCUGAGAAGUCAGGGUCUGAGGCAGGGUCUUCAUUUAGGAUCCUUGCUGCUUGAGGGUGAAACUUUUCCCAAGCCUCUCAAUGCUGGCCUAAUAUAAUGGGUACCUUCCUUGGAUUUGACCUCAACAGGGAGAAAAGGCAGUUAUCCAGGUGGUUAGCCUAUUUAACGAUUCUCCUGGCCUUAUUUUUGCAGUGUCUGGUGCAAGCAUCCUUUAGGUAGAGCAGGCCUAUAGUAUAAUCAGUGUGUUAUAUAAUUUACAUUGAAAAGUUAAAAUGUGUACCUCAAUGCUGAUUAAGCAUUCACACUAUUGUGAUGCAAAUCUUGAUUCUCUUAUAAUUUCAGGAUUCUUUCAUAUGUUUUUGGACUUCUGCAUACUCUCAGCUAACUGUUCAAAUAUCAACAUGUACAGUUCAUUAAGGAAAUGUAUGCAUGCAUUUAACUCUUUUCUACCAUUUAAAUUUAUUAAAAUUUAGAAGCUUUUGAACCAUAUGGAGAGAAUCUUCAAAUCUUCUCAAACCUACUCCACAACUGUUACAAUCCCAGUUCACAUUUAAUGCUUUUUUUCAUACAUUUUCUGAGUUUCUGGGUGUGAAUUGACCUGCUUAGACUGGGUAAUAUCACUAGUGAUAUCACCCACUCUAAUUUGUCUCUGUCUAUUUGGUCUUCUUUUGGAUGAUGUGUCCAUUAAAGCAAUAGGAUUUCCUGUUUUUGAAUUUUCAGCAACAAGGGAUCCCUUUCCUGUCCCAUUAACUGUAAUGUUACCUCAGAUCAUUGAGUUUUGAAAUAAAACCCAAAUGGAGAGAUUUUUAAAAUUGUGUUUUCUCAGUUGCUUUUUUACUUUAUCCAUACAAUGACAUGUCUAUGUCUUCAGCAAAGUUUUUGCAAUACAACUUAAGUUUUCAAAUUUGGAUGUCUUUUUCAAAUGAAUGUCAUCCUGGCUCCCCCUUGCUGUUAUAACUAGUGAUUCACCACUUUCACACAGAAACCCGGAUGAUGCUAAUUAGCUGAUUAGACCUUUAUGAGUUUCUGCCUGUGUCUGAUUGGUGCAUCAUCAUCAUCUGUUUUUGGGAUCUCUGUUUCUACUAUUUUAAUUA